rnacentral:rRNA from 1 species
AGAGUUUGAUCCUGGCUCAGGAUGAACGCUAGCGGCAGGCUUAACACAUGCAAGUCGAGGGGCAGCGAGGGUAAUAGCAAUAUUACCUGUCGGCGACCGGCGCACGGGUGCGUAACGCGUAUGCAACCUACCAUCAACAGGGGGAUAACACUGAGAAAUUGGUACUAAUACCCCAUAAUAUCUCAUGCGGCAUCGCAUGGGGUUGAAAACUCCGGUGGUUGAUGAUGGGCAUGCGUUGUAUUAGCUGGUUGGUGAGGUAACGGCUCACCAAGGCGACGAUACAUAGGGGGACUGAGAGGUUAACCCCCCACAUUGGUACUGAGACACGGACCAAACUCCUACGGGAGGCAGCAGUGAGGAAUAUUGGUCAAUGGACGGAAGUCUGAACCAGCCAUGCCGCGUGCAGGAAGACGGCUCUAUGAGUUGUAAACUGCUUUUGUACAAGGGUAAACCUGAAUACGUGUAUUCAGCUGAAAGUACUGUACGAAUAAGGAUCGGCUAACUCCGUGCCAGCAGCCGCGGUAAUACGGAGGAUCCAAGCGUUAUCCGGAUUUAUUGGGUUUAAAGGGUGCGUAGGCGGAUUGAUAAGUUAGAGGUGAAAUGUCCGAGCUCAACUCGGGAACUGCCUCUAAUACUGUUGAUCUAGAGAGUAGAUGCGGUAGGCGGAAUGUAUGGUGUAGCGGUGAAAUGCUUAGAGAUCAUACAGAACACCGAUUGCGAAGGCAGCUUACCAAACUAUAUCUGACGUUGAGGCACGAAAGCGUGGGUAGCAAACAGGAUUAGAUACCCUGGUAGUCCACGCAGUAAACGAUGAUAACUCGUUGUCGGCGAUACACAGUCGGUGACUAAGCGAAAGCGAUAAGUUAUCCACCUGGGGAGUACGUUCGCAAGAAUGAAACUCAAAGGAAUUGACGGGGGCCCGCACAAGCGGAGGAACAUGUG